ACUAGAACGAGUGAUGCAGUGCCCCGAUGGAAAGAUUGCUUCGUGUAUUUAUCUUCAAGCCGAUGCCGUUGCCCCGGAGGUUCUCUCGCCGUUCUGGUUUUUCCUGCGAUGGACUCGGCGGCACCGUUCGAAGCCGCCAAGAUUGGCACGACCUAAACCAGGAAUUCUUUAAAUUAUCCAGUCACGUAUAACGCAAUUUCAAACAUCGAAGCCUUCCCGAAUUUGGAGCCCGUAAUCUGUUGGUUUGUGGUUUUUCACCUCACGGAAAUACGAUUUUUCUUAGGUACUGAUCGGAUCUUGAAGGCUGAUAUCCGGCAUCUCGUGUUCUUGUGCGUAUGAGAGUCGUCCUCGACGAUUAACGCCAUUAUCGGUGGUGUUAGCAUAGGCAAAGGAUGAAUUUACAAGAUUCUUGUUUGUGAAGUUGAUAGUUGGAGGGACAGAUUGGUUUGAUUUCAGAGGACCGCGAGAGAAGUUACAGUGAAGGCGAGGUGUGUGUUAUGUGGUCCUGAACUUAAUUUAUUGAUUGUAGGCCUUUGCCAUGACGGGUGCGCUUGCAUGGCAAUUCAAUACUUAAUAAAAUUUCAUUUUCUGGGGUUGGAGGGGGAGAUGCUGCGGCCGGUUUUUGUUCUUUGUUUUUGCGCCGGCCUGCUCUUCCCCUUCUUGGUGGUGCGUGUCUCUCUUCGUCAUCCUUCUCCUCCACUUUUUUUCCCCCCGGCGCUUCUUCUUCUCUACGUUGUACGUACGCCUCGUAAUUUUCCAGUGACUUGUUUCAAGACGAAAACACGAAACAAUUCGCAUGUAAAAUCAUGUUCGAAGCAAAACCAAGCAGAUCCAAAACCGCGCGACACAUGUAUACCCAAUAACCAACUGAUUGACAAGAGCAUACGUGUCCAGUCCGUGCCUGAACAAUUGGAUAAUGAGAAAUAAGGAAUAGACUUUGCCAAUGGGAGGCACAUGGGCCUUCCCGCCAAGAUGUGUAAUGUGGGGGCAAGAUGGUGUGAGAUUCAGAAGCCCAAACCGCCAUUUCAAAGCCUAUAAAAUAAAUAACAACGUUAUAUUAUUUUUUAUUAGUUAUUGUAAAAAAUAUAAAAAUAUUAUCAUAAUCAAUAAUUACGCUUAUGAAAACAAGUUAGCGGUAGGCCAUUCUUAAACAAACAAAUAUUAUUAAUUAGGCUUAAGCCAGGGCGGUUGCGCCAUUCUUAAGCAAACUCCGAUCACAACGGCUAUUUCAAAUCACCGACCUUCGCCGUGCGGGUUUGUCUCAGGCGAACAUGCAUGCUGGGAGCCUGGGACGACCGUGACCAUUCGGUUAAGGCUGUUAAAUAAGGUGACGUGGUCGGACAAGCGAGCUCUGUUGGAAGGCACAAUAGGAGCCACGGGGCUGCAGAAUUGUGCCGACACGAUGAUUGGACACUGGCAUCUCCGAGGAAUCUGUGACCGAGAGAAGAGCAGAGUUAGCAGCGCUUUGGAGAUCUUGAUGAGGCCCAGGUUGCUCUUUCCCGAUGAGCCUACCAGUGGACUUGACAGCUAUAGCCUCGGUGGUGCAUGAUGGCCUCUCGAGAAAAAUGCUAAAAAAUAUUAUGCAAGAAUUCCCAGGGUUACCUGUCUGCUAUCCCUCACAGUUAGAGAAGGAUGAUCCCAAACUUUAUGCUAAUAAUCUUGAAGUUUGAUGGCUACUGAGGGUAAUUUGAUACUUUCAGAUAUUGGGCUGGCUGAAAAGCGGACAUACUUUAAGGGUGUUUCAGGUGCUUAUUGGUGCACGUGUACAGUAUAAUACUUUUUAUAAUAUGCAUAUUCUUAACCCACCCUCCUCAGGGGGCCUCUCUUCCAAUCCCCUACUCUGCAUGGUUCUCCAUACUAAUUGCAGAGGAUCUUCUGGAAGCUGAGUUGAUACAUAAAAUGUUCAAGAACACGAUGGUCAUAAUAUAUUGCAUUAUUUUAGGGGGAAAAUGAAAGAAUUAUCUGUACUGUUUUUCAAAUUUGACUGCAGUUAAAGUUGUUUGUUCUGCUGUAUUAGUGGUAUCUCUUGAUUGUUAUACUAUAUUAAUUGAUUUAGUUUCUAUAUUGCCUUAGGAUCUCCAUUCCCUUUCAACUCUUGGGUACAGGCUAGCUCUUUCUCAUGUGUCAUGUCUAAAGCUGCCGCGGCCGUUCUUUUUAUGCAUACCAACUUACCUUUGUCAGUAGAAGUAUUUGUCUUGAGGUUUCUGAGUGUUCUAGGCUGAGCUUGAACCUAGGUUUUAUUUUGCCAUUUUUUUGCGGAAAUUUAGGUCCAUAAAUUAUCAGGGAUGACUAAAAUACUGGCAUUUCUGCCUGGAGGUGUUGUCACUGAAAGAAUUCACGAAGCUGUUCCCCCUAUGUUGCUAUUCCCAGGUUAUUAUCCUGACUAUUUCAUGUUUUCUGGGUCAAUUUAGCUACCCUUGGCAUACAGAUCUAAAUCAGUUUCGUAGAAUAGGAUUAAUUUCUUUUGUAAUGCUUUACCUUUCUGCUAAAAUUAUCUGAUGAUUGAUCUGUGUCCUACGGAAUAAAUGUGCUAUGUGUCUUGGUUUUCAUUGGUGAACAUUAUUGACUAUUCCUCAGGCUUGUGAUCCAGAAGGGGAACUAUUUUCCGCAUUUGUCUUUUUCCUAAUCUUUUCAACUUAUGAGUUUUAAUUUAUGUUUAUUUCUUAGUCACUCCAUAUCUCUUCUUAUCAAUAAUUUAUUUAUUCAUCUAAAAAGAAACUUCAUCUCUCAUUUGUUUAUCUUUAAACUAGAUGGGUGAGCUCUUUCGUCGCAUGGAGCAUGAUGAAUGAGCCAUGUUGCUUGACUUGUGAAUAAUACGUGCCAUGGAUUUACUUUAUAUUGAUACUACUGUAAACAUUAAAUUUCUAAUUUAUUAUGUUGCUGGUGUGUGAAA